AAAAGGGGACAGUGGGACUCUGACAGGCACAUGGAAUAGCAAUGCAUGGAGCAGCCAUAAAAUAUUCAACAGCCACAGAAGAUUCCAGCACGGACGUUCGUCGUGGGUCUUUGAAAAUGGAGUGGGGUGGGGGGAGAGCUGGAGAAAAGCUGGGGGUAGCACUAAUUACUCCCCAGCUCCUAAUUAGUUGCUUGAAUUUUAAAAUAUGGAUUCAGCUCCACCAGCAGCUCAGCAAGCCCAUUGUGCUAUUAAUACUUCCCUGGCGUGAUAUGGUUAAAAAUACUCCCACCCUGCCAAGACAAAAUGUGGCUUGGAAGUGUCACGAGGGGAGGAGUUGAGGGCUGGAAAUCCUCUUAAAGGAAUAUGACUGCCCCAAUAUCAAAUCAACAAAAUGAAUGGGCUUGUGGCAGCCCCCACACUGAGCCUGUUCCCACAAAGAGCAAAUGGGAAAACAAUUCCCAGUGCAGAGCUCUUGGGCCACCUGAAAUCAGAGCAGAACCAGUGCACAGCCAGAUGGGAGCAGUGUUUUGUUUUGUUUUAUUUUAUUUUUCAGCAGCUCUCCUGCCUGGGGAACAGGUGGAUUUGCAGGCUCACAGCAUGAGGCUCAAGUUCUGGCCAAAAAAGCAGAAUUUUGGAGUGUCCUCCCCUCCUCACACCCAGGGAAUGCAGGAGAACCCUGAGCAGCAGCCACAGCUGAUUUUUCCAUGGAAUAUCUAUCUGUGUUUCCACAUUUGAGAUCCUCUCAGGACAAGGAGCAGCUCCUCUCCUGUCUGCACUGACAAUUUGACAAUCCAAAUGGGUUAAUUCCUGACAAUUCCACAUCCAGAUGGGUUAAUUCCUGUCAUUCCUGCUCCCUUCCCUGGAAUCUCAGCAAUACCAGCACUGGAACAAUCCCUGCACUUAACGUUUGCCCCCUGCUUUUUGAUCCCUUUUUCCCCCUACUAAUUUGAGCCCGUGGCAGAUCAAUAUAUAAAUUAAAAGACAAAAGAACCUGACACAUCCACUGUGGCUGGGAGAACAGACAAAGCCACACUUUUCUGGUGGGAAAAAAAAAAAACAUCCAUCUUUUGUACAGUAAACCAGCAAUCUGCUGCUCCACGGCGAAACCAACAGCCUGAGAGGCAGCCUCGUGUGAUGGGCAGCACAAGGGCUUUGUUUAAAUUAAAUUAAAAAUGAAAAACAACCCCCAGCCGAGGCCUUGAGUGUUGUCAGAGGGUUGUGAUUGGGGGAUGAGACAGCCUGAACAGAUUUGGGGGCUCUGGUGUCACCCAGGGAGGGAUCUUGACCAUCUCAGCACCAUUUUCUGGGGUGAAAAAAAUGAGCUAAAGGGUUAAAAAGGAGGAUUUGGGGUCUCCUGCUCAGCCAGCUCCCCACUUUCCAUCCCACUGCAGGGAAAGGCAGGAGGUUCAGGCACAGGCUGAGCUCAGCCUGUCCUUCCUAACAUGGGGGAAAGCUGGAUCCAGCCCAAAGUGCAUCGUUUCAAACUGUCUCCGUGGCUUUUUCAGAGCACAGACACCUCUCACAGCCCCUUCUCUCCCCCAGUUUCCCUCCUCAGCCCUUUUCCACCCUGUUAAUUCAG
rnacentral:lncRNA from 12 species